rnacentral:tRNA from 1 species
AUCUAAAUAGUUUAAGUAAAAAUAUUGGUUUGUGGUGCCGAUGAUAUAGAUUUUAUUUUAGAUU